GGGCUGACAUCACUGUUUCCACCAGCCAUACAGAGCCUACAGAAAUCUCACAAGAUGGAUUUCUUUGCUUGGAUUCCAGGGCUAAGGUUCCUGCCCUGUGUGAAUUCCUGCUCUCACUGCUUUUGAUGAUCUACUGUUCUAUGGACCCGUCUCCCUGUGUCCUGAAACUCCCUCUGUAGACCAGGCUGGCCUCAGACUCCCAGAGAACCUGUGUCUACUUCUGAGCGCUGGGAAUGAAGGUUGGACUUGAACUGGCACUGUUGCUGGGGAUGAUCGUGAUGAUGGUCCUUCUGUCUCUGUCUCCCAAGUGCUGGGAUUACAGAUCUCGCAAAAGGGGAGGAAGGCCUUCACCGCUGAACCCGAGCUUUGCCAUUUCGAAGUGCUGAGUCACCUCGUCCUCUCAGGGUCAGACACUUUCACGCAGGAAACGUCCUGCAGAGCACCGCAGCGGGAGCACCGAGCUGGUAUGUCCCUAUUUGAAUGACAAGACGGGAGAAGAGACAGCGCAUAUCUAUGCUAACUUAUUUUUCCUCAUAAGCUGGUGUUUAAGAGACUUCUGACAGCAGAAAUCAGCUUUCUGGUUGGUAAUUUUGUUGAACAGUAUUUUCUUCCCAUGGCUGGAGAUGACUCAGUAGUUAGAGUCAGUUGCUCUUCCAGAACAGCAAGGUUCAAUUCCCAGCGUGUGCACGCGCGCGCGCGCGCACACACACACACACACACACACACACACACACAUACACACGCCGGGGGCUCACAACUGUAGCUCCAGGCGUCAAGUUUUCUGGCACUAGGCAUGCAUGUGUGCACAGAUGAAUGUGCAUGGAACACACCCAUGUACGGCUCCUGUAAAAUGAACAUGACUGUCAAAGUGUUGUCUAGUGGUGUUUACAGGGGAAGGUGCUCUCCGCUUAUUUUAUUAUUUUUAAAUCGCUUGAUUCUCAAUUUAGUUUAAAAAAAAAACCUAAUACAAAAAGAAAAAAGAAUACAAGAAUAAAUUAGAUCUUAAACCAGCUCAACUUUUAGGACAUCUGUUUUUGUAUUUUGAACAUGUCAUCGAGUGUACCGGAAGUAUUACUGCUGUAUUAAUGAGGGGAAGUGGGUAGUGGACAGCUGGGGAGGGUGGGAGGGCAGGAAGUUACAGUUUAGGAUUUUGGGGGAAUGUAGAGAGCAUAAACACACAAGAUUGAGCAACCUGGCCAGGUGGGGUACGCACGCCUUUAAUUCUAGCACUUGGAGGCAGAGGCAGGUGGAUCUCCUGAGUUCCAGGACAGCUGGAGUUUCCCAGAGAAACCCUGACUCGAGAAAAAAACAAAACCAAGAAAAGACUGAACAAUUUGUAUAUAGAAUGGCUUUACUGUUCUUUUAACAGAAAACUGUCUCCCAUCAUUUGGGGGUCCUCCAACAGGAAGCGGCUUGGUCUUUCCACAGGGUGGUAAUUUAUUCUAGAACCGAUGUGCCAGCGUUUCCUUCUGUGUGCUUUGAGUAGGAGCAGGAACAACGGAUCUCUCCAAGCAUGGGCAGACGGAGAGCUGCAACCCUUGGACCAACCAACGCCUGCCAGUGGGCGCCUGCAUCCCACGCCUGCAUCCCGCGUGCAGGCUACUGGCAGGUGCUCUGUGUCUCACUCCAUCUUUACCUGCCCUGUAAAGGAGGAACUGUUGUUUUUAGUCUCCUGGAGCAGCCGCGCCUUCCCACAGCACUCAGACUUGAGGAAGCUUAAGAAGCUGAGACCAGAGAGGGCGAUGUCCACCUUGGUGACGAAGCACUCUAGAGGCUGCCGCCACACUUAAAAAGUGACCAGUCACCAACAACUCAUCUUAAGUACAGGAAGAAUGCCAGCAGCUGAAUGAAAUUCUUGCUUUCCCUGGUGAACAACGAAGGGGAAGGGAAUGGAGUGUGGUGAAAGAGAGGGCAGAAAGGCUGCCAGUGUCCUCUUCAUCCCUGCCCCACCCCCACCCCCACCCCCCAGCACAGAGAGACCCGGGAAGAUUUCAAAUCUUUCCUUUAAGUGGCGGCUAAGGACAAAAUGAAAUGACUUAGCCACCUAUCAUGGUCUUUACUGAGUUAUAUCCAUGGAUAUAAGAUAAUUUGGCAUCUAAAAAACAAAGACAGGGCCAGUAAAAUGGCUCACUGGGUAAAGGUGCCCGCUGCCAAGCCAGAGCACCUGGGUUUGGUCCUUGGAACUCACACGGUGGGGAGAACAGAUCCCUUCAUGCUGUGUGCUGAUGCCCACAUGCAUGUUAGGAAAACACUUCCAGCCCCCUAAACUAACUUUUUCUAUUCCGUACUCUGCCUGUGACUAGACCUGGAAGGAGAGAACAAGGGCCUUCCUGAGGCAGGACAAGGACCCAGAACUACCCAGAAUGCAGCAGGGCGGCCCCGCACGACUGAGCUCUGAUCCUAACCUGCAAAGUGAAGUUUCAAUUUCCACUUCCUGAGAAGGUGUAUAGGUGUGAACCAAGUGCACGUCUAGUUCCCUUGGAGGCCAGAAAGAAGGCGGUGUCAGAUCCCCAGGAACCAUAGUUACAGAUGGUUGUCUCCUGUAGCUCAACCUGGCCUGGAAUUCUCUAUGUAGCUGCAAGUGACCCUGACCUUCUGAGUCUUCUCUACCUUCCAGUGUAGUCUCCCCUCCCCCAGCCUGAAUCCUGCUUGCUCAGGGGUGGAGCUUCCCGCUCAAUCGUUCAGCCAUGC